rnacentral:rRNA from 1 species
UACGUAGGUGGCAAGCGUUGUCCGGAAUUAUUGGGCGUAAAGCGCGCGCAGGCGGUUUCUUAAGUCUGAUGUGAAAGCCCACGGCUCAACCGUGGAGGGUCACUGGAAACUGGGGAACUUGAGUGCAGGAGAGAAGAGUGGAAUUCCACGUGUAGCGGUGAAAUGCGUAGAGAUGUGGAGGAACACCAGUGGCGAAGGCGACUCUUUGGCCUGUAACUGACGCUGAGGCGCGAAAGCGUGGGGAGCAAACAGG